rnacentral:rRNA from 1 species
GACGAACGCUGGCGGCGUGCCUAAUACAUGCAAGUAGAACGCUGUUUCGAACGGGUGAGUAACGCGUAGAUAACUGUCCCAUACCGGGGGAGAACUAUUGUAAACGAUAGCUAUAACCCCAUACUGUUAGAUGGACCUGCGUUGGGUUAGGUAGUUGGAGGGGGAAAGGCGCACGAAGGCGACGAUACAUAGCCGACCUGAGAGGGUGAUCGGCCACAUUGGGACUGAGACACGGCCCAGACUCCUACGGGAGGCAGCAGUAGGGAAUCUUCGGAAAUGGACGGAAGUCUGACCGAGCAACGCCGCGUGAGUUAAGAAGGUUUUCGGGUCGUAAAGCUCUGUUGUUAGAGAAGCGGUAACUAAACAGAAAGGGACGGCUAACUACGUGCCAGCAGCCGCGGUAAUAC